CGCGGCCUAUCAGCUUGUUGGUGGGGUAGUGGCCUACCAAGGCGACGACGGGUAGCCGGCCUGAGAGGGCGACCGGCCACACUGGGACUGAGACACGGCCCAGACUCCUACGGGAGGCAGCAGUGGGGAAUAUUGCGCAAUGGGCGAAAGCCUGGCGCAGCGACGCCGCGUGAGGGAUGACGGCCUUCGGGUUGUAAACCUCUUUCAGCAGGGACGAAGCGCAAGUGACGGUACCUGCAGAAGAAGCACCGGCUAACUACGUGCCAGCAGCCGCGGUAAUACGUAGGGUGCGAGCGUUGUCCGGAAUUAUUGGGCGUAAAGAGCUCGUAGGCGGUUUGUCGCGUCGACUGUGAAAACCUACAGCUUAACUGUGGGCUUGCAGUCGAUACGGGCAGACUUGAGUUCGGUAGGGGAGACUGGAAUUCCUGGUGUAGCGGUGAAAUGCGCAGAUAUCAGGAGGAACACCGGUGGCGAAGGCGGGUCUCUGGGCCGAUACUGACGCUGAGGAGCGAAAGCGUGGGGAGCGAACAGGAUUAGAUACCCUGGUAGUCCACGCCGUAAACGGUGGGAACUAGGUGUGGGGGACUUCCACGUCCUCCGUGCCGUAGCUAACGCAUUAAGUUCCCCGC
rnacentral:rRNA from 1 species